rnacentral:lncRNA from 1 species
GGAAAUAAGAGAUUCAAACUAUUCUGAAUGAAUAAAAAUGAGAAUUUAAAAAAUAUGAACUCGGCUUCCCAUUGACCCUCUUCACCCUGGAUACCAAAGUCUAAAUUCAAAUAAAAGGAAGAUCUCACUUUUCUCACAUGCAAUCACAAGUUCUACAUGCAGAAAUAAAAGGUUUUCAUUUUGGUUGUUUUAUGUUAGAUAUAGAGGUUUAACAUAUUAUGCAUGUCAUACAUCUAUAAUUUGUAUAGUGGCUGUAUGUAGUCUUCGUUUUUUAUUCUACUUUGUAUGUAUUUUAAAGCAAACAUUAGAUUUUUCAUAUUUGUUUUCCUCUCUCAUAGAUCUUUGGCUUUCUGAAUAUGAUACUUUGGGGAGGAAAUGCUUGGUUUGUGUACAAGGAGACCAGCUUACAUAGUCCAUCAAAUACGUCAGCUUCUCAUGGCCAAGGAGGUGUCCCACCCACUUCUGGAAUGUAAUUAAAGGGAGAAAUACACUGUAUGAAAUGUGUGCUAUACUAUGCCUUGUUGCCAACAUCUUGAGAAGCAUUAUUGUUUCUAAUAAAAAGUAAUGGCUUUUUCAGUAAAUUGUGGGUUUAAAAAUUUGCUGCUUUUCUACAUAAAACGUGCCUUUUCUAGAAAUUUAAGAUGUAAAUGUAUUUUUACAUGUAAGUUUGAAAAUUCAGGAGCCUGUUAUGAGAUGAUGUUACUUUUAACUGAACAAUAAUUUAACUAAGUUGCUUCUAAAGUGUUUACACCUUAAACUUAACAUAAACCUUCACUCAGAGAACAGUUAUGUUGUAUCAUAAUAUAGGAAGAAUGUUUGGAAUAUACACUACUGGUAGUUUGUACACAUCAUAUCCUUAAGGCUUGGCUUGUUUAAGAAAACCUAUUUGCAUAAAUCAUAUUUAGAAAAAAUUAGUGCAAUUUUAUAUUUGAAUAUUGUUCAUGUU